GCCCCGGUGGCUCAUCGGUUUAAGCGCGCGCACCAUGAUUGCGGCGACCCAGGUUCGAUUCCGGCUCGGGUCA